UGGCUCUACAAGCUAAUGUUUUCAACUACAUGACUGAAGAUAUGCAGGUCCGUGUGACACUUGCCAAGUCUGACGAUUUCUUCAACAUUGAAAUUGAUGCUAAUGGAGCUGAAGUUUUGAAACAUGUUGAAAGUGUACAAGAUGUGACGAUCAAGGCUGGUGAGGCCAAGUCUGUGUACUUCCCCAUUGUGCCAGCUG
rnacentral:sRNA from 1 species